UACAGAGGGGGCUAGCGUUGUUCGGAAUUACUGGGCGUAAAGGGCGCGUAGGUGGCCUGUUAAGUCGAACGUGAAAUCCCCGGGCUCAACCCGGGAACUGCGUCCGAGACUGGCAGGCUCGAAUCCGGGAGAGGGAUGUGGAAUUCCAGGUGUAGAGGUGAAAUGCGUAGAUAUCUGGAGGAACACCGGUGGCGAAGGCGGCAUCCUGGACCGGUAUUGACGCUGAGGCGCGAAAGCCAGGGGAGCAAAGCGGG
rnacentral:rRNA from 1 species